ensembl:lncRNA
GGUCAGAGGGACAUGACACGCUGCUUCUGCUCUGAAGACAGAUGGGGCACUUGGGAAAGAAUGUGGGUGGCCUCUAGGGCUGAGUGUGGCCCAACCCAUGGCCAGAAAGGACACAGGACAUCAGACCUACAGCCUCCGGGAGGCAGAUUCUCCCACAGAUGAGAGCCCCGCUGGGGGACACCUGGCUUUUUGCCUGUAAAACCUGCACAGAGAACCCAGUCAAGCCUGGAUUCAGAUUUCUGGCCCACGGAGCUGUUGGUGGUCAGUGGGUGUUAUUGUAAGCUGCUAAGUGUGUGGUGACUUGCUAUGCAGCAGGAGACAGGAACCGGCCUCUGCUCUGGAUGAGGUUGGGGAGGCUGCUGAGAGAGGGGUCGGGUGAUUCUGUCUCUUCUGCCAGAACAUUUCCAUCCUGUGUUCAUCCACGCCAUCUACCAGAGCUCCUGGUCCCUGCCCAUGACAUAAAGACACCACAAUGAGCUGGAUGUGGGGGCCACCGGCUCCAGAGGCUAAGGGAGAGUGGACCUGUGCCGCUCUGUGCUCAACCAGUUCACCGAAGAGCCGGCAACCAGGACAGGUGUCCUCGUCCCGUCACGGAAGUGAGACCAUAGCGGGGACCUGCAACCCUGGCUGCACAGCAGUGGCACCCAGGACAGGGAGGAGCUGAGCCUCUGCCCGGGAAGACCACCCAAAGCCCCAAGCAUCCUUGGGCCUCAGUGCCCUGUGCGGCGUCCUCUGACCUUGGCAGCACCAGGAUUAGAAGAGGGGGCCCCACCUCCCUUCUCAGCUCCCUCCCUCCUGACCAAUUCCUCUUUCUCCAUUAACGUCUGCGGGUGAUGAAACGAGACCCCUCAGAGAAGUGCAUGAUGGAAGUAAGUCUCCUCCAGCCCAGCUCUUCAGGGCACCAGACCCACCUUCACAGAGCUAAGCAGGGUUGUCUGCUUCUGUGUCCAUUUUCAGAAAGAAUCUCUAUCCACCUCCGUGUGCUCAGGCAUAGAUAUGUGUGUGUAGCCCAUGUUCACAUGUGCCCAUGUGUGUGUGCAUGUUUGCAGGACAUCAUACAUUUCUCACAGAAGCAGGACCAUCCAUCUUGCUCUUUUUCAUUCGUUCUUUUUCAUUUAUCCUGGAGACCGUUGCAUGUCGGCUCAGACCACCCAGCCCUUCUUGUGGUCUGUCUGCUCAUUGUCAGUAUGUGGGUGCCGAGCUGUAGGUACCAGCCUCCCUCCUGGGAGAUGUCAGACCUGUGUAGUAAACACAGCUUCAUGGAAAGGGGCUUCUUGCACGCCUGUUCAGCACCAGGGGGGCCAGAGAGACUGGGAUCCAGUCCUCAGACCACAGUCCUUGUGUCCUGCCAGAGGUCACCCAGCAAGAUGGAGAUAUGAAGUAGGAACGCCCUUGUUGUAGUUCGGUCACUAAGUUAUGUCCGACUCUUUGCUACCUCAUGGACUGCAACACUCCAGGCUCCAGCAAUCUCCCAGAGUUUGCUCACGUUCAUGUCCAUUGAGUUGGUUCUUGUCACCCUGAAACAACCCUCUGCACCCUCUUCAGUCUCCACGACACCAGAAGGGACUUCAACCCCCUCCAGUCCACCCACCUGGCCACCCACCCCCAGCACAACAUAGCCAGCUCAGGUACCCACAUCUCAGAUUCCCAGAGAUGGACCCCCAGGUGUGUUUUUCAAAGCAGAAAUGGCUGCAGAGUCAGGAGAGGCCACUCUCGCCACUGGAC